ACUCUUUGUUCUAGGUUCUAUGGCCCUUCUCUGCCCUGGAGCUCCCCACAGAGAGGCUCUGGUCUUCUCUGUCCCAGGCAUGACAGCUAAUACUCUUCCUUUUCCUGCCCUGUCAUUUCCCUCCUCCUCAAACACAGAUUUUCUUUCCUUAGACACGAUUUCUUCCGCUGUGUUAGUCAGAGCCUUGUGGUGUUUGUUUAAAUAAACAAAUCCGUCAUGAAUAUGAUAUGAAAGAAGACUGGACCUUCAGGCUGACUGAUGACGAACAUGAUGAGUUUCUUAAGGAAGCAGGAGUGAGCAGCAAGUACGAGUUUUUGGAGGCACAGAGUGGGGAAGACUUGCUAAGGCUUGAAUGGGCUUGUCUUGGAGCCAGAGGCAAAUCAGUCUUUUCCUCUUCAAAGGAGUCAGUUUUACUGGAAGUACUACAUAUAAUUAAUUACAUAUGCAUUAAUAUCAUGCUGACAGAAAAACAAAAAAGGAAUGUGUUGCCACACAGAAGAUGCAGAACCACUUUUAUGGCCGAAGUGGAACCAUGGUGUGAUACAGCUUCAAGUGAUCUUAAAGAUCAUCUGGCUCUUGAGCAUCCAGUGAAAAGUGGCUUCCUUGGUCUGAAGGUUUGGCCUGUCUAAGACAUUUAGUUAAAAUCAGUGUUUUGCAUCUUUGAUCAGAACAUGUGAACAAAUAGGACAAUUUGGCUUUCUCACAUAGCCACCACCAGCUUCCUUAAAUGACUGUUGCCAGGUGUCACCCUAGCAGGACUGAGCCAUUAAUCAUGGCAAAUGAAGCCGCAGGAGACUUUGCAUCCUGUCGGGAGAUUUAAUAUCAUCCCAAGAGCUGGCAUCUGAGUGCAACGAAC
rnacentral:lncRNA from 1 species